GGAUCGAUGAUGACUCCAAAUAAACAUUUCUUGGAAAGCUGAACAAAACAAGUGAAACUGUACCGUUGUCCUCAUCGAACUGAGAUCC